rnacentral:rRNA from 1 species
UGGGGAAUUUUGGACAAUGGGCGAAAGCCUGAUCCAGCAAUGCCGCGUGUGUGAAGAAGGCCUUCGGGUUGUAAAGCACUUUUGUCCGGAAAGAAAUCCUUGGCUCUAAUACAGUCGGGGGAUGACGGUACCGGAAGAAUAAGCACCGGCUAACUACGUGCCAGCAGCCGCGGUAAUACGUAGGGUGCAAGCGUUAAUCGGAAUUACUGGGCGUAAAGCGUGCGCAGGCGGUUUGCUAAGACCGAUGUGAAAUCCCCGGGCUCAACCUGGGAACUGCAUUGGUGACUGGCAGGCUAGAGUAUGGCAGAGGGGGGUAGAAUUCCACGUGUAGCAGUGAAAUGCGUAGAGAUGUGGAGGAAUACCGAUGGCGAAGGCAGCCCCCUGGGCCAAUACUGACGCUCAUGCACGAAAAGCGUGGGGAGCAAACAGGAUUAGAUACCCUGGUAGUCCACGCCCUAAAACGAUGUCAACUAGUUGUUGGGGAUUCAUUUCCUUAGUAACGUAGCUAACGCGUGAAGUUGACCGCCUGGGGAGUACGGUCGCAAGAUUAAAACUUAAAUGAAUUGACGGGGUCAUAGCUGUUUCCU